rnacentral:rRNA from 1 species
AUUGAACGCUGGCGGCAUGCCUUACACAUGCAAGUCGAACGGCAGCAUGGGUGCUUGCACCUGGUGGCGAGUGGCGAACGGGUGAGUAAUACAUCGGAACGUACCUUAUCGUGGGGGAUAACGCAGCGAAAGCUGUGCUAAUACCGCAUACGCCCUGAGGGGGAAAGCGGGGGGAUCGCAAGACCUCGCGCGAUUAGAGCGGCCGAUGCCUGAUUAGCUUGUUGGUGGGGUAAAAGCCCACCAAGGCGACGAUCAGUAGCUGGUCUGAGAGGACGAUCAGCCCCACUGGGACUGAGACACGGCCCAGACUCCUACGGGAAGCAGCAGUGGGGAAUUUUGGACAAUGGGGGCAACCCCGAUCCAGCAAUGCCGCGUGAGUGAAGAAGGCCUUCGGGUUGUAAAGCUCUUUUGUCAGGGAAGAAACACCGGCUCUAACACAGUCCGGGAAUGACGGUACCUGAAGAAUAAGCACCGGCUAACUACGUGCCAGCAGCCGCGGUAA